rnacentral:rRNA from 1 species
GACGAAGGUGGCAAGCGUUGUUCGGAAUUACUGGGCUUAAAGCGCACGCAGGCGGCCCGUUAAGUGCCUUGUGAAAUCCCCCGGCUCAACCGAGGAAUGGCUUGGCAUACUGGCGGGCUUGAGGCAGGUAAGGGCGCGAGGAACUCUUGGUGGAGCGGUGAAAUGCGUAGAUAUCAAGAGGAACGCCGGCGGUGAAGACGUCGCGCUGGGCCUGUCCUGACGCUGAGGUGCGAAAGCCAGGGGAGCAAACGGG